CUUCUUCUCUUCUUCUUGUCUCAAAGCCUUGGCCCUUCUUUUUCACCGCCGUCGAUGUCUCCUGGGUGCGGUGGUUGGACGUUCGCCGGCGUUCUCCUUUCCCUCCUCUCUUCUUCUUCUUUCUUCACUUCUUUCUACUUUACUUUUUGUUUUUGCUUGCUUGCUGCUAUUUUCCUUUCUUUUGUUUAUGCUUGCACAUUUCUUAGCUUGACUUCGGCGAGGAGCAACGAUGAUCGUUGCACGGCGAUCGUGGUGGCGUGGGUACGGUGGCGGUGAGCGUGGGAUCGGCCCAUGGGAGUAUUUUUUGCUGCUGGAAUUUUCUGCUAUUUUUUUUGCUUUGGUUGCCGAAAAUCCUCCUCCCUUCUCUUCAAUUUUUUCUUUUUAAAAGCUCCAAAUUUUGUCCUCUUUCUCAUUGUUUGCAGGUGGCAGAGGAGCCAUGAUGGCCUAGGGGGGCUGCUGGAGUAGCUCGGCUGGGAGGGGUACGCUCGGCUGGUGCAGCGGCGAUUAGACAAGUCCAGAAGGACUAAAUUGCAUAGGAUGCAAAGCUUCUGGGGCAAAAGUGUAAUUUUAGCAAAAAUAUGGGCCAAAAUGUAAUUUCUUGAGAGUUUAGGGGUCAAAGUGAAUUUUUGAGAAAGUCUAAGGGUCAAAAUGUAAUUUUAGAAAGUUUUGGGUCAAAAUGUAAAUUUUAGAAAAGUUUAGGGUUAAAAUGUAAAUUUUGAAAAGUACAGGGGUUAAAUGAAAAAAUAAAAAAUUCUUUUUUUUUCAAACACGAAAUUAAUCUCGGACAAAAUUCAGUGAUUACAGCUGCCCCUCUUUGCUCAUCGCUAUGAAACAGGGAUAGAGCAAAGACUAAAAAGCACUGAAUUUUGUUCGACCAUCUAAAAUUUUCCUCUUUAUUUGAAAAGCAGAAAUCGAGAACAGCUCGGCGUGCGACCCGAGACUCAACUCACCUCUUGAAUUAUGAGUUGAUCUUCGAAAAACAAAAAUCGAAAAUACCUCGACAUGUGCCCCGAGGCUCAACUCACCUCUCGCAAUAUGAGUUGAUUUUUGAAAAACAUGAAUUGAAAAAUACCUCUGCGUGACCCGAGGCUCAACUCACCUCUCGCAAUAUGAGUUGAUUUUUUGAAAAACAUAAAUUUAAAAGAAAUACCUCGGCAUGGUCCAAGGCUCAACUCACCUCUCGCAAUAUGAGUUGAUUUUUUUGAAAAACAUAAAUUNNNNNNNNNNNNNNNNNNNNNNNNNNNNNNNNNNNNNNNNNNNNNNNNNNNNNNNNNNNNNNNNNNNNNNNNNNNNNNNNNNNNNNNNNNNNNNNNNNNNUGAAGUAAACAAAAUUAAAAAAAAUACCUCAGCGUGACCCGAGGCUCAACUCACCUCUGUAUUAUGAGUUGAUUUCUUGCAAAAAACAGAAUUUUAAAAAUAUUUCUUGAAAGAAACAAGGUUUCAAAAAACAUCAGGUGAAACUAAAAGCCUUCAUCUUCACUGAUUCUGUGCAGCUUUCUCCUAGUAUUCCUUGCUCUACCGGUAUACCUGUAUACGUCAUGUAUGAUGUUAUUACGAUAUGCACAUGUUUGUCCUAAAUGCUUUUGUGUCUACAUGAUCAUGCAAUGCACCGUAGGCUAUUUGUCACGUGCCCCACUUUUGAUUUUUGUGAGGGUCCGCAUUCAUUUCCUCAAUUCUUGACUUUUCUCUCUAAUUUUGUACUCAUCCUCAAGUUCUGUGAGUAAUCUACAUUUCUUCGUAUAUCGCUCUCUUGCCCCCUGCUGAACAUUGUUCCUACUUUGGGGCCCUUAUAUUUAUCAAAUUCUCAUCCAGGUAAUGCUCAACAUUCCUUUUGUUUAGAGUAUGUCAUCUUACUAUUUAUCAUUUAAAUGAAUCAAACACAAGAUGCAUGACAAAAGUGGCAAAGUAGGCAUGAAAGAAAUACCUCACAUUCAUUUUUUAAAGCAACGAAAGAAAUUGACAAGGAAAGUUCAACAAAUAAAUUGUCAUAAAGAAAAGAAAGCGAAUUCAAUGGCCAGAAAUGCUCUAGAUAUCCAAUGCAUGAACUUUCCACGUUUCUUCAUCCUGGAUCUUUUCGAGCACGGCUUCUUGUGUAGAAGAUUUUGAGCUUCUGAGAAUGCUUCAAAUAUUGUAACCUUGCCAUUCGACUCCCUGUUCAAGUCGCCUUGCUCCUUAAGUCCGAGCCCACUUUGUUAGGACGCCCUUUUGGGUUUUCAUCCUAAUCUUUUUUGUUUAUCAAGACGCCCUUUUUGGGUUUUCAUCUUGAUUUUUCUUUUUCUUUUCUUUGUUUUUUUUGUUUUUAUUUUUGUUUUUGUUUUUUUAUUUUUUUUGUCCCUUUUUUUAAGCAUAAUAUUUCUUCACAGCAUCUGAGUUCACUGGAUUAGGUAAUUCUUUCCCAUCCAUUUCAGUAAGAAUCAGAGCCCCUCUUGAGAAUGCCUUUUUUACAACGUAUGGUCCUUCCCAAUUUGGUGACCAUUUUCCUUGAAAGUCCUUUUGUAUCAGGAGGAUCUUUCUUAAAACGAGUUCCCCUUCGCGAAAUUCUCUUGGUCGCACAUUAUUAUCAUGGGCCGUGAUCAUUCUCUCCUGGUACAUCUGUCCAUGACAAAUUGCCUUCAAGCAUUUCCCUUCAAUAAGGUUUAGCUGGUCAUAUCGAACUCGAACCCAUUUCGAUUCUUCUAAUUUUGUCUCCAUCAUGACUCACAAGGAUGAGAUCUCUACUUCAAUAGGCAAAACGGCUUCCAUUCCGUAGACUAAUGAGAAAGGACUUGCUCUCGUAGAUGUCCGCACGGAGGUGCGGUACGCAUACAAAGCUAAUGGUAGCUUCUCGUGCCAAUCUUUAUAUGUCUCACUCAUCUUUCCGAGAAUCCUCUUAAUGUUUUUGUUGGCCGCUUCAACAGCUCCGUUCAUUUUCGGGCGAUAGUGUGAGGAAUUAUGAUGUUUUAUCUUGAAUUGCUCGCACAUUUCUUUCAUCAUUUUGUUGUUCAAAUUUAAAGCAUUAUCUGAGAUGAUUCUUUCAGGCAGACUAUGUCGACAUAUGAUUUCCUUUUUUAAGAACCUACAGACCGUAGCCUUCGUCAUAUUAGCAAACGAAGUGGCUUCUACCCAUUUUGUGAAGUAGUCUAUAACCACAAAGAUGAAUCGAUGUCCAUUGGAAGCUUUCGGGGAAAUCGGCCCUAUAACAUCCAUGCCCCACAUAGAAAAGGGCCACGGAGAAGUCAUGACAUAAAGGGGCGAUGGAGCUGCAUGAAUUUUAUCGCCAUAAAUUUGACACUUAUGACACUUUCGUGCGUAGCCAAUGCAAUCCCUUUCCAUCGUCAACCAAUAAUAACCAAGUCUCAUAAUCUGUCUAGCCAUGGUGAAACCACUAGCAUGCGUUCCACAAAUUCCCUCCUGAACCUCCUCAAGUAUCUUUCUAGCUUCAACAGUGUCCACACAUCUCAUGAGCACUUGAUCUUUCCCUCUUUUGUAUAGAAUAUCCCCGUCAAGAACAAAUCCAAUCGCCAUUCUUCUGAUUGUUCUUUUAUCAUUCUCGUUUGCUUGCUCGGGGUACCUUUGAUUCUUGAUGUACUCUAGGAUAUCAUGGAACCAUGGUCGUCCAUCGGACUUAUUCUCAUACUCAUGCUCGAGAUAUCGCGCUCCCCUUUACUGACUCUUGGCUCUCAUAUACAAUGUCAUACUCAGACAAUAGGAUCUGCCAUCGUGCCAUUCUCCCUCAUAUUCUGUGAACUUUUUACUGAGGCAGUAAAUUAUCUUUUCUCUUUUUCCUGACUCAUCAUGUUGCCCCAGCAUUCUUCAAUUCAAAUGGCAUCACUUUGUAGCAGAACGUUUCCCAUAUUGUGACGAAUGUGGUUUUCUCCAUAUAUUCGGAAGCCAUCUUUAUCUGAUUAUAACCUGAGAAACUAUCCAUGAAAGAAAAUGAAUAAUGUUUUGUCGUGUUAUCCUGGCAUGUCUUGAUACGACCAAACAAAUAUAUCUUUGUACUCACGGAGCAAGGCGAUUAAAUUCUGUUUGGUGUUCUCCGAAACGGAAGUCCUAAUCUUCAGUUCUUGUUUCUUUUCUUCACUCCCUAAGUUCACUGUCUCAACAGAUUCUUGAUGAGGUAAAAUCUGUUUCUCUUCUUGUUCAACUAUUCUCUGUAAGUCAGGAGGCAGGUCACAAUUUUCAGCAUCUUCCUUGGCUUCGAAUUCUCCUAAACAAAUAGCCUUCUUGAAAUUAAUUUCAGGAUUUGUAACGGGAUUAUUCCUGCCAUAGAUAUCUGAGCACCUAAAAGAUGGGUAGAAAAGACAGCUAUAGAGGAGUAUCAAAGUAUUAGAAUCAACACUCAAUGAUAUGAUAUGGUAUGAAAUACAUAUAGGAGAAUGAUGUGAAGAGAAGUGAUAGUUACGAGACUAGUAGAAAUAAAAAGACCAUGACAAAAUGCAUCUUCAUCGAUGUUCAUUGAAAUGAUAAAGAGCAAGCAUAUGCUCUUACAAAAGGAAUCCCACUAUCUAGGGAUAUACAAAAUAAUGGAGAAUUAUCAUUGAGCAUUACUCUAGAGGGGAAUCAAAAACUACAAGGAGGUCCACAGAAGUCUAAUUGUUCAAAACAUAUCCUGGAGGACAAUGGCGUAUCAUUGAAACAUCCCCAAUUGCAUCACCCUCGUUGUCAACAACAUUUAUGCUGAUGUUCUAAAAUCCCUUUUCAUUUAAGGCGCUUCGCAGAUUGUUUUGCCCCUCAUCUUCAUUCGUUACCGAAUUCACAUUCCCAUCAGCAUGGUUAGGAAAAGGGCUUCCAGCCUCAUUACUAACACUAUCAAAUCGUAAAAUGCCCGCAUUGAUAAGAUCUUGAACCCUCCUUUUAAAGGCAAGGCAAUUUUCUGUAGAAUGCCCCUGAUUUCCAGCGUGAUACAUGCAACUAGCAUUAGGAUCAUACCAUUUUGGGUAUGGAGGCUUCAGGGGUGCCAUGUAAUGUGGUGAUAUUAAUUGAUUCUCUAAUAGUUUCGGGUAUAAUUCUCUAUAUGACACAGGAAUUGGGGUGAACUGAGGUCUCUCAGGAUUAGAUCUUGCUGGUCUUGCUCAUUUUUGGGUUGGCUUUGUGUGGGCAUGGUAUUUGGUGGGAACAUGGUGAACGGUCUUUGGUUGUUCAUGGCAUAAACGGGGUAAAGAGGAGGUGUUUGACAAUAAGGACUUUGGGAGGGAAAGUAGAAGUUUGAAGGCGGGCGAUAACGAGUUCGUGGUUGGGCUGGAUGCGGAUUGGAGGUAUAGUGGCUCUCAGUUCCGACCAUAUGGGUUUCUGCCUCUUUAUUCCUUACAGGUACUGUCUUUUUUGAACUUUCAGGGCCUUCCAUCCUCCCAUUCUUGAUGGCGUUUUCUAUAAGCUCCCCAGAUAUUACAAUGUCCUUUGUGGCACUUCCUACCAACUUAUCGUAAAAUGACACUUUCAGAGUAUUAAUGAAGAGGACCGUUAUCUCCGUCUUAGUUAACGGGGGUUCCACCUGAGCUGAGAUAUCCCUCCAUCUUUGUGCGUAUUGUCUAAAGGUCUCUGUCGGCUUUUUUUCCAUCAUUUGCAAAGUUAGUCGAUCAGGCACCAUAUCUGAUACAUGCUUGUAUUGCUCACAGAAUGCUGAUGCUAAGUCCUUCCAUGAUCGGAUCCUCUCUCUGCUGAGCUGAUUAUACCAUCGAAGAGCCGAUCCAACUAAACUGUCCUGAAAACAGUGUAUCAGCAAUUUAUCCUCAUUCACGUAAUCAGUCAUCUUCCGACAAAACAUGACGAGAUGCGCCUUUGGACAUCGCGUCCCAUCAUACUUUUCAAAAUCUGGUGCCUUGAAUUUUGAGGGUAGAACCAGAUCGGGCACCAGACUGAGUUCUUUAGCACUCAAAGCAGAGAAGACUUCAGCACCUUCUAUUGCCUUGAGCCUUUCUUCUAAAAUCUGGUAUCUAUCUUGACCGUCAUAAUCAUUAGUUUUCAAUUUUGCUAUUUCCACAGGAUCGUCCAGAUCUGGAACAAAUGGAUAUGCUGGAUUAACCCCGGAGUUCGAUACCAACAUACCUUGCCCCAAAUGAGCAGAUGGUGCAGGACGUUGUUCCAGGAUUGUAUGGGCGUGAGGUGGAGUAAAUCCUGGGGGAUAGAGUGGAUCCUGAUCAUUAUUAGCUCUUGACUAGGGCUCCAUGAUAUCAUGGCUCUGCAUGGGUCCCUUUCCUUUUACUAAAGCUGUCGUCAUUUCCAUCAUUUUAGCCAUUUGGUCUCUUUGCUCGAGUGAUUCUUCUCGAGAUCUCACCAUCAUAUCUGUUGCCUCUUAUUGUGACUUGGCCAAUUGCUCUUGUAACUCUCUUUGGACCCUUUCCAUCCUUUCGAUUUUUUCGUUAAGUUCAGCGUCCAUAGCUCUAGUUCUUAGACGUGUCCUGUAAAGAUGAUGUGAUUCCAGCCUUGUAGUACCGCCACUGUGGAUUAUGCGAUUUUUGCCUCAGUGAAUGGUAAGGGUGAUAUGUACAUGCAAUGCAUGAAUGAAUGAAUGACAAGUGAAUAUUAGUCAUGAAUAAAUAUACAAGUAUUUGGUGUUGAUUUCAAGACAGCCCCAUAUUUUGGCGUUUCAUUAAUCAAAAGAGUCCAUUACAAAAGAUUUGGCCAAUGAAGAUACCCCUAGUGCCUGAGUCUCAUUGUUUCCAAAUCCUAAUCAAGUAUUCGCGGUUAUUCUGACGAUGCUUUUUGGGUCCUCAAAGAUCAGUCUCAGACUAUAACAUUUUCCUCAAUUACUUGCGUAAUUGAUUCCUCCAUCAAAAACCCGUUUUUGGCAACCAAUCUCUAAUCAACACCAUCCUAAUGAGAUGCCUAUGAUGCAUGAUGAAAAAUAAAAUUAAGACAAAUAAACCUAGUUAGCAAUCACGGCAAAUAUAAACAAAGAAAAACUAUGGAAAAUCUAACAAACCGACCUAUUUUUUUUUUGUUUUAUCCCAUCAUGCUUUACAAAAAUAAACUUACCCCAUAUGCUCAUCAAUCUACCCGAUCAAAUUUAUUAAACAGACCAAAUUCCCUUGCAAAAAGUGUAAAUGUGAAAGAAAUAAAAGGUAAGAGGCGUUUCUCCCGUGUAUUUAUUUUGGUGACUAUUCAUCGGACAGAGGUUCGGCAUGACUCUAAUUGGGUGGCUCGUACGGUUCACUAUAUGUGGCUUUGGUUCUAGAGAGGUACUCGAAUUGUCCAUACUGUCACCUACUAAGGUUAGUACGAAGUCUCGGUUAUCGCCCGUCAUGGGCUUGCGAGCUCAAUUCUAGGGAUUACAUUUACUUAUGCCUAUGCGGAGGGACGAGUUAACUCACGAAAACAUAAGUCAUAUGUAACCCGGAAGUAUUUCACUAGCCUGUGCGGAGGGACGAGUUAACUCACGAAGGCGUAGCGUUUACUUCCACUUAAACGGAUGGAGCCCGGGUAGAGAGCUCAUGUUAUGCAAGAAUGCAAGUGCAUGGUGUGUGGGGAGAAACUCACAAACCUUUUUAUUUUUAUUUUUACUAAAAAAACAAACUAAAACCAUAAAACUUAAAGCUGAAAAAAAACACGAAAAUAAAACAGGUUAGAAAAAUAUUAAUUUCAAAACCGGAUGUAGAUGCAUGAUUUUUCAAAACAAAAUUCAAGGAUCACGAUUAAAAAUUAAAUUGAACAAGAAAUUUUAAAAAUUUUGACAACACGCGUUUAACAUCAGACUCGACUCUAAAAAAAAUGUCCCCAGCGGAGUCGCCAGCUGUAGCGAUCUAAAAAUUUGGGUACGAUGGCACGGGCGCUAGUCGAAAUAAUUAUUGAAAAAUUAAAAACGUCUCGAUUUUAUUUGCAAAAGGAGUCGCCACCGAUCUAUUUUAAGUGUGAUCGAACACCUAAUAAAUUCUCUUUUUAGAAGAAAAAUUUAUUUUUAAAUUUUCCUAAAAAAGAGGUAAUUUUAGGUCUGCGUGAAAAUCCAGAGAAAAUUAGGGUUCGGGAGUCGGUUACGCGCGAGGAAGGUAUUAGCACCCUCGCGACGCCCAAAAUUGGUAUCUCGUUAAACGCGCGUUGUCUUAAUUUUCAAAAAUACAAGUUCAAUUUAAUAUUUAAUUGUGAUCCGAUUGAAACUUGAGAAAACCUUUUUUUUUGUUUUUAAACACGAGAACUUUGAAACACAAUAAUAAUUUUUGAAAACACGAAGAUUUUUGAAACACGAAAUUUUUUUGAAAACACGGAUUUUUUUUUGAAAAUAAGGAAAUUUUCGAUACAUGAGAAUUUUUUGACACGAAAAAUUUUGAAAACACGAAAAUUUCGAAAACUUGAAUUUUUUUUUAAACAUGAAUUUUUUUUUAAAAAACACAAGAAUUUUUUGAAAACACGAAAGCAUGAAAAUUUUGAAAACACGGGAAUUUUUUUAAAACACGAAAAUUUUUGAAACAUGAGAAUUUUUUGACACGAAAAUUUCGAAAACAUGAAUUUUUUUUAAAAUACGAAUUUUUUUAAAAACACGAGAAUUUUUUUGAAAACACGAAAACAUGAAAAUUUUGAAAACACAAAAAUUUUUGAAACAUGAGAAUUUUUUGAAAACACGAAAACACGAAAAAAAAUUUAAACACGGGAAUUUUUGAAAACAAGAAAUUUUUUUUUAAAAACACGGAAAUUUUAAAACAUGGAAACUUUAAAAACACGAAAUUUUUUUUUAAAACACAAGAUUUUUAUUUUUUUUAUUUUUUUAAAUACCGUAUUUAACACGAAUCGGUGACAUUCACCCCGUUAUGGCGAUGAAACCAUCGAAUUAGUGUUAACUCAAUUCAAUUUAAUAUUUAAUCGGGAUUCUAAUAAAACACGAGAAUUUUUAUUAAAAUACGAGGAUUUUUGAAUAUUUUUAUUUUUAAAAGGGCGUCCCGAAUUUAACACGAGCUAUCGAUAUCCACCCAACAUAGCAAUGAAUUUGAUGACUCGAUGCUAAAUUGGUUCGUUGCCUUAUGCAUUAAAAUAUUAUUAUUAUUAUUUUUUAAAUAUGCAAUUAAAAUGACAUAAUAAUAUUUAUGAAAACUAUUUUUAAACAUACUAAUUUAAAUUAAAUAAAACACCAUUUAAAUACAUUAAAUAAAAUAAAAUAGAUUAAAAAGAAAAAAAAUUACCCAAAAAGGCCCUUUUCCUUUUUUUCGGUUUGGGCCUCAGUUGGCCCGCUUCACUGCUGCAAUCGGCCCGCUGGAGCUGCUGGGGUAUUGGGCCUGCACUGGGUCAAGUCCAUUGGUGGUGGACUGCUGGUGGCUUACCAAAAAUGGGCUGCUGUUUUUAUUUUUUUAUUACUUUUUUCUCUCUUUUUCUUCCUCUUUUUUUCUUCUUCUCUUCUUCUUGUCUCAAAGCCUUGGCCCUUCUUUUUCACCGCCGUCGGUGUCUCCUGGGUGCGGUGGUUGGACGGUCGCCGGCGUUCUCCUUUCCCUCCUCUCUUCUUCUUCUUUCUUCACUUCUUUCUACUUUACUUUUUUUUUUGCUUGCUUGCUGCUAUUUUCCUUUCUUUUGUUUAUGCUUGCACAUUUCUUAGCUUGACUUCGGCGAGGAGCAACGAUGAUCGUUGCACGGCGAUCGUGGUGGCGUGGGUACGGUGGCGGUGAGCGUGGGAUCGGCCCAUGGGAGUAUUUUUUGCUGCUGGAAUUUUCUGCUAUUUUUUUUGCUUUGGUUGCCGAAAAUCCUCCUCCCUUCUCUUCAAUUUUUUCUUUUUAAAAGCUCCAAAUUUUGUCCUCUUUCUCACUGUUUGCAGGUGGCAGAGGAGCCAUGAUGGCCUAGGGGGGGCUGCUGGAGUAGCUCGGCUGGGAGGGGUACGCUCGGCUGGUGCAGCGGCGAUUAGACAAGUCCAGAAGGACUAAAUUGCAUAGGAUGCAAAGCUUCUGGGGCAAAAGUGUAAUUUUAGCAAAAAUAUGGGCCAAAAUGUAAUUUAUUGAGAGUUUAGGGGUCAAAGUGAAAUUUUGAGAAAGUAUAAGGGUCGAAAUGUAAUUUUAUAAAGUUUUGGGGUUAAAAUGUAAAUUUUAGAAAAGUUUGGGGUCAAAUUGUAAAUUUUGAGAAGUAUAGGGGUUAAAAUGCAAAAAAGUAAUAAAAUUUCUUUUUUUUUUUUCAAGCACGAAAUUAAUCCCGGACAAAAUUCAGUGAUUACAGUCCAUUCACCAACUAUUAGAGGUCUUUUUACCCCUGUCCAUAGGACCUGCUAAGAUAGUCAACAAUUAUUAGUACAAUAAAUAUUUGAUACUAAUAAAUUAUUUUAAUUUAAUUUUACACCAAUUUUAUUUUUUUCUACUGUAUUUUCAUAGUAAUUGUUUUCUAC
rnacentral:lncRNA from 1 species